rnacentral:lncRNA from 1 species
CAGUGCCUAUCCUGUCCCUAUUAAAACUGAAAUAGAAAAUACAGGCGGAUAAUAAUACAAUAGUAUUAAGUUAGCAAAUAAGUCCAUGCUGCAUCCAUUCUUGGCUAAGAUGUCCGCUGCUCCAUUAGUUUCUCUGAAUACAUGCCUCAAAGGUGGCGUGCCAGCCUUAGAUAAUAGGGACAUGCAGUCAUUAAUAAUAUUUUGAUAAAGAUUAUUUUCAUUAUUUAUCAUGUUGAUUAGUUCCUGGCAAUGUGUUUCAAUGACUAGAGGAGUCAGUCUCAUUUGGAUGGCUAGUUUUAGACCUUGUACUAGGGAUAUGGCUUCUAUUUGAAUAUUUGUGGCGUGUGCAAAUCCCAUAUUGAAUCCUAGUAUCUAUUUUCCAUUGCUAUCCCUAAAAAUCCCGCCUAUCCUCCCCCCUGACUGGGUUACCUUGGCAUGAUCCAUCUAUAUUUACUUUUAAAAUCCCUAUGUCUGGGGUUGCUAUCUAAUAAGGAUCGUUCUUUUUGGUAUCCGUAUAGGACUCCAGUUGCUUAGAAAAAGGAAUUCUUGGGUGCUAUUGAUUACUUAUCUAAUGCUUCUAGUUGGAGUAAAGAGGGUCCCCUUAUCUAAUGCCUCUAGUUAGAGUAAAGAAAUUUGUAUUUGAGCCAUUUAUGAGUAUGGAGAUAGAUGUGAAGGAUACACACGAUAUUAUUAGAUCAAUUAAGUCAUCGGGGAAAUUUAGAGAUUUCAGGGAGAAUCUAAUGAAAGAUCACUCCAGCUUGUCAAAGGCCUUUUCCAGGUCAAUUUUGAUCAUGAUUUUUUCCUUUUUUUCCUUUUGAAUUUUUUAAAGAUUUUUGUGUUUCAUGCACUAUUAUGGCAUUAUCCGAGUCUCUUCUUCCUCUUAUAAAGCUCGUUUAAGUAGGAUGUAUAAUAUUGUUGAGCAAAGGUUUUAUUCCAUUAACUAUAAUUUUAGUGACGACCUUAUAGGCAGUGUUACACAGACUAAAGGGCCUAUAAUUGCUUUAAUGUUUCAGCAUCGUGAUAAAACAGACGAAGGUUCUAUUCAUGUCCUCAUUCAUUCUUUUACUUGUGAAGGAUUCUUUACAGAAGUUUACUAGCAGGUUGCUAGUUAUUCCCCAGAAUUAUUAGUAGAAGAAAGGGUGGAUGUCAUAUGGUUCAGGUGCCUUUAGUGGUUUAAAAGAGAAAAGGGUGGGAUGGUCGGUAAGGGUAAUUGAGGAUAGGGCAGGCAUGUAUAAUGGUGAUUUUUGGGAGGAAUUGUGAUUAGAAGUAUAUAAAUUUUUGUAGAAGUUCAUUUUAAUGUGGGUAAGUUCCUUCGGGUCAUGUAACUGAUUACCAGCUUCAUCUCUGAGGCUAAAUAUCCUAUUUUCCUUCUACUUUGUAGGGUUAUGAGAUGGAAAAACUUUGUAUUAGCGUCGCCUUCUUGAAUCCAUUAGAUUCUAGAUUUCAGUUUCCAGAAUUCCUCCUCCAAUUUGAGGAUUUUUUGUAGUUCAUCGAGUAGUUCAAUUUCUAGAUUAGACAAGAAGGUGUUGGUUGUGUAAUUUGGAGAUUUUUGAAUGCCUUCUAGUCUAUCUAGGAUUUUUGUUCUUUUAUUAAAAGAUAUUUCCAAAGGUAUCCUUGGUCUAGGCAAUGGCUUUAUUAGUGAAGUUGUUGAUAGCAUUUGAAAUAGUGACUUGGUUUGUCCAGCAUUCCAUUACUAGUCCCUUAAAUGUGGGAUGGGAUAGUCACAUAGAUUCUAGUCGAAAUAUAUUAUUACUGUGGAUGGGUUUUUUUAUAAGGUCCAGAUGUAUGAGGUAGUGUUCAGAGUGGGUUUUUAUAAGAUGUUUUACACUGGCUUCAGGAAACAUACUAAUCCACCGUUGGCUACGAAUCUGUCCAAUCUCUCCAUGAUGAAAGCAUUUUUUUUCUUUUUCCUCUUAUUUAAUCAAGUGAACUUUGGGCCUUUAAACCCUAGGUCUAUUAAUUAAAAGCAUCAAGAUAAUUAAUAAACUUUGUGAUUCUAUUGUUAUUAACAUGUAUACCUCUAAAUUUCUCACUUGAACUAGUGACCUCAUUAAAAUACCCUAAUACUAACCAGGAUCCUUUAUAAUUAUUUGCAGCUGUUAUUAAAUUAUUUCACGGAGUAAUUCUUUCCAUUAACAAAAUACUAGCAUAAAUAAUUGAGCAUAACCAAGUUUUAGGGUAGAAUUUUACCUUCACCAUGACAUGAAUUUCUUAUUCAGAUCCCUCUAUUUGGUCAACACUGACUUCAUCCCUGUUCCGUACUAGUGUCAUUCCUCCCGAGUUUCUUUGUGCCGCAACCUAAGCUAGACCUGAAAAGCCAAAGUCCUCCAUGAUGACAUAGCGUUCAGAUAAUUUCGUUUCGAGUAAUGCAACCACACUAGGUUUGUGGUAAUCAAGUAUGGAUCUAAAAGCUCUUCUGAAGUAUGCCUUUUCUGCUCCACGACAGUUCCAAGAUGUUGACGUCUUAAGAAUGCUCCUACUUGAUUAAAAGUAAAACGAUAAAGUAAAUAAACAAAAUAAACGUAACAGUAAUCUUCCUUCAUAUGCAGACAAUGACGAUAACCCGAUUUCCAUUCAAUUUCAACUAGUCAGAUUCUUUAUCUUCCCAACACCACCCAUGACCCAAAGGCAAUCUGAUUUCUUUUCUUAAGAACUUAUAUCUAUUUUAAACAUAUUCCAAAUUUGCUAUGACUAAACAACAUACAGAGUCAGGAAUGGAAAUCGAUUCAAUUUAUUUAAUCUAACUAAAUUAAUUAAAAAAAACAUAACUAUCACUGAAUUAAUCAAUGUUAACAGAUUCUAAAGCUCCAUUCACAGUAGGAAAGUGAAGAUAGAUAGGAUGAAGAAAAUGGACCUGAUGUGGCAAAACGUUUUUGAAAUAAUGAACAACAAACAACCGGCCAGAGCUACGGUUGGCGACCUCGACGGACUCGAAUGGGCUUUGACGGAAUUCGAACUCGACCGAGACACGGCUACAGCUGUUCAUUUCCCGGUGAGCUGGGCAUUCUCUGGUGGAUUCGCGUUGGCUACUGGUUCAGUAAUUGUGGAGUGACGGCUGCUGGAUUUUUUUAG